rnacentral:rRNA from 1 species
UACGUAGGGUGCGAGCGUUGUCCGGAAUUAUUGGGCGUAAAGAGCUUGUAGGUGGUUUGUCGCGUCGGCUGUGAAAACCCGGGGCUCAACCCCGGGCCUGCAGUCGAUACGGGCAAACUAGAGUGCGGUAGGGGAGACUGGAAUUCCUGGUGUAGCGGUGAAAUGCGCAGAUAUCAGGAGGAACACCGGUGGCGAAGGCGGGUCUCUGGGCCGUAACUGACGCUGAGGAGCGAAAGCGUGGGGAGCGAACAGG